CCACCACGAGAGGUGGGGACGUCAGGCGGAACUAGCCGGUGCAAACCGGAGGAAGUGGGGACGACGUCAAGUCAUCAUGGCCCUUACUGUCCUGGGCGUACACACGUGCUACAAUGGCCGGUACAGAGCGCAGCGAGGCCGCGAGGCGGAGCGAAUCGCUUAAAGCCGGUCCCAGUACGGAUUGGAGUCUGCAACCCGACUCCAUGAAGUUGGAAUCGCUAGUAAUCGCGCAUCAGCAUGGCGCGGUGAAUACGUUCCCGGGCCUU
rnacentral:rRNA from 1 species